rnacentral:rRNA from 1 species
GGCUUUCUGAAGAACAUGGGGGGUCGUGCCUUCCCAGUGGGCAUACGAGCCUAAACGGACGCGGUAAAUCGUGCUAAGGUAGCUAAAUUAUGGCCUAUUAAUUGUAGGUCCUGUGAAUGGUUUGACGAGUCCUCGACUGUCUCGAGGUUGUUUUGGUGAACUUGAAUUGAAUGUGCAAAUGCUUUCAUGGGAAAGAAAGACGAGAAGACCCCGUGAAGUUAGAAAUUCCUAUUACAGCGUUAAUCCGUUUUGAUGUUUGUAGAUCAGGCGUUUUAGAACUUUAAUUUUCCAAUACGGCUAGAGUUAGGGGUAUUGGAUGUUUAUAGUUUUUAAGUAGGGGAGUGUGGUUUUGAUGAGUUUUGGCUGGGGCAGCAAAGAGGCAAAACUAGACCUCUUUAGACACACAACGGGUGCGUUACGACCCACAAAAAUGAAUUGUGUGAUUAGCAGAAUGAGUUACUCCGGGGAUAACAGCGUAAUCUUCCUUGAUAGUUCUUAUAGAUGGGCGGGUUUGCGACCUCGAUGUUGGCUCUGGGUAUCCUGAGGCUUGCAGGCGGUCUCAAGGGUUGGUUCGUUCGCCCAUUAAAACCUG